UACGUAGGGUGCAAGCGUUGUCCGGAAUUAUUGGGCGUAAAGAGCUCGUAGGCGGUUUGUUGCGUCGGCUGUGAAAUCCCGAGGCUCAACCUCGGGUCUGCAGUCGAUACGAGCAAACUAGAGUGUUGCAGGGGAGACUGGAAUUCCUGGUGUAGCGGUGAAAUGCGCAGAUAUCAGGAGGAACACCGGUGGCGAAGGCGGGUCUCUGGGCCGUAACUGACGCUGAGGAGCGAAAGCGUGGGGAGCAAACAGG
rnacentral:rRNA from 1 species